rnacentral:rRNA from 1 species
UACGGAGGGUGCAAGCGUUGUUCGGAAUUACUGGGCGUAAAGCGUGCGUAGGUGGUUCGUUAAGUCUGAUGUGAAAGCCCUGGGCUCAACCUGGGAAUGGCAUUGGAAACUGGCGACCUAGAGUGCGGUAGAGGGUAGUGGAAUUCCCGGUGUAGCAGUGAAAUGCGUAGAGAUCGGGAGGAACAUCCGUGGCGAAGGCGACUACCUGGACCAGCACUGACACUGAGGCACGAAAGCGUGGGGAGCAAACAGG